AUUGAACGCUGGCGGCAUGCCUUACACAUGCAAGUCGAACGGUAACAGGUUAAGCUGACGAGUGGCGAACGGGUGAGUAAUAUAUCGGAACGUGCCCAGUAGUGGGGGAUAGCCCGGCGAAAGCCGGAUUAAUACCGCAAACGACCUACGGGUGAAAGGGGGGGAUCGCAAGACCUCUCGCUAUUGGAGCGGCCGAUAUCAGAUUAGGUAGUUGGUGGGGUAAAGGCCUACCAAGCCUGCGAUCUGUAGUUGGUCUGAGAGGACGACCAGCCACACUGGGACUGAGACACGGCCCAGACUCCUACGGGAGGCAGCAGUGGGGAAUUUUGGACAAUGGGCGCAAGCCUGAUUCAGCAAUGCCGCGUGCAGGAAGAAGGCCUUCGGGUUGUAAACUGCUUUUGUCAGGGAAGAAAUCCUCUGGGUUAAUACCUCGGGGGGAUGACGGUACCUGAAGAAUAAGCACCGGCUAACUACGUGCCAGCCGCCGCCGUAACAC
rnacentral:rRNA from 1 species